AGUGCAUGGUAGAUAAAUCUUGGCUGCAUCACCCGAAAAAGAGGCCUAAGUCCUGACCCAGUUUGUAUUUUGUUGCUCUGAAUAAACACCAGGACCAAAAGCAACAUGGCGGAGAUAGGAUUUACUUCUCUGUAUACUUCUGGGUCACAGACCAUCACUUUAUCACUGAGGUGUCAGGAAUACCAUGAUGGCAGAAUAUUUACCCAUUUGUGAUCAGACUCAAAUGUUGUCAUUCCUGAAAUCCCAUUCUCCUGAAGUCAGUGGAAGAAAGUUCUAGGCCGUGGGGCUUUGGCCCUGAGAACUGCAUGGGGGCAGCUGGAAAUGGCCUUAUAUAGCAGCCUUGCUUCAUGUUUGCCAUCAGAUGCUGAUAAGGACAUUCUGACAGCGGAACGCAGUGGUUCUGCGGAAGAGGGACAGCAGCGGUGCCAGGGGACUGGCUCUGCUUUCGGAUCUGGGACGAGCGUGUGUCACUGUCACUGGUGUUACACAUUCCAACCUGGGCUUGGUCUGGGUUUCUUUUAAACAUCUGGAUUGCCUAGCCAAUACGAACAUCCAUGGGGGUGACUUUGCUCUGCUGUGAGGCCUUUCAGUGAGAUCAUUAAGGCUAUAGAGGUGACACAGCACCCAGGGUCACUGACAAGCUAUUCUUUGUUAAGGAAGAGGCAGAAGAGCUCAUCAGAAAAGAUUUGACCUGUACUUUGGAGAUGUGAUAGGAAAGUGAAAGAAACCAGGCAGAGACUUGCUCUUGUCGCUGAGAGGACACACCUCUGAAGGAGUCACCCUGGUGUAAGACACUCCAGGCUGGGCUUGGUAUAACUGAGCCUUAAGACAUGGAGUUCUGGGGUUCUGAGAAGGUUCCUUCCUCUCUUAAAUAAAGAAUGGCAAAUGGAAGCAU